rnacentral:tRNA from 1 species
GUUGGUGUAGCUCACCGGUAGAGCACAUGCUUAGCAUGCAUGAGGUUCUGGGUUCAAUCCCCAGUACCUCCA